rnacentral:rRNA from 1 species
GACGAACCGUGCAAACGUUAUUCGGAAUCACUGGGCUUAAAGCGCGUGUAGGCGGGCCGGCACGUCGGUCGUUGAAAGCCCCCGGCUCAACCGGGGAAUGGGCGCCGAUACGACCGUCCUGGAGGAACGUAGGGGGACCUGGAACUUCCGGUGGAGCGGUGAAAUGCGUUGAGAUCGGAAGGAACGCCCGUGGCGAAAGCGAGGUCCUGGACGUUUUCUGACGCUGAGACGCGAAAGCCAGGGGAGCGAACGGG